UACAGAGGGUGCAAGCGUUGUUCGGAAUUAUUGGGCGUAAAGCGCGUGUAGGCGGCCAAUCAAGUCGGGUGUGAAAGCCCUCAGCUUAACUGAGGAAGUGCGCCCGAAACUGUUUGGCUUGAGUACCGGAGAGGAUGGCGGAAUUCCCCAAGUAGAGGUGAAAUUCGUAGAUAUGGGGAGGAACACCGGUGGCGAAGGCGGCCAUCU
rnacentral:rRNA from 1 species